UACGUAGGGUGCGAGCGUUGCUCGGAAUCACUGGGCGUAAAGCGCACGUAGGCGGCUUGUUAAGUCAGGGGUGAAAUCCUGGAGCUCAACUCCAGAACUGCCUUUGAUACUGGCGAGCUUGAGUUCGGGAGAGGUGAGUGGAACUGCGAGUGUAGAGGUGAAAUUCGUAGAUAUUCGCAAGAACACCAGUGGCGAAGGCGGCGAUCUGGGCAGAUACUGACGCUGAGGUGCGAAAGCGUGGGGAGCAAACAGG
rnacentral:rRNA from 1 species